GUUGGCAACGUUAUUGUUAGCUGCUGUCAGCUGACACAACGAACAUUCAUGGAAUUGUUUUGAUUUUUGUCAUCAUAUUAAAGUUUUGUAUUCUGGUCGUAUUUGUAUUCGAUUUUGAAUGUAACAUUAAUUUAAAACAUAAUAAAGCUUUAAAGUUUCUAACAUGAAUUCGCGAAAUCCACAGACACUUAUGGCACUGCCAAAUGAAGAAAAUUUUGAUUUCCUCUUUAAAGUUGUUUUAAUUGGAGACUGCGGGACUGGGAAAACUUGUAUUGUUGAACGUUUUAAAACUGGAAAUUUUAUUGAAAGGCAUGGUAAUACUAUCGGUGUGGACUUCUCUAUGAAGACAGUUAAUAUUGAAGGGAAACAAGUAAAACUUCAAAUAUGGGAUACAGCUGGACAAGAACGGUUUCGAACAAUCACACAAAGCUAUUACCGCUCUGCAAAUGGUGUUAUUAUUGUUUAUGACAUAACAAAGAGGAGUUCUUUUUCAAAUCUUCAAAAAUGGAUUGAAGAGGUACGGCGUUACACAGCAUCUAAUGUGUUACUUAUUUUAAUUGGAAAUAAGUGUGAUAUUGAAGAUGAGCGUGAAGUCGAAUUUGAAGAAGCGAAGCAAAUGUGCCAAUAUAUUCCCGAAAUUCUUUUCGUAAUGGAAACAUCAGCGAAACAAAAUACAAAUGUAGAAGACGCAUUUGUUUGUUUGGCGACGGAAUUAAAGCGACGUCAUGAUGCCAACACAGUGGAAGCAGACAAAGAAGAAGCCAUACGACUGGGCCAAAGCAAGCCGCUUAACAAUUGCAGUAGUUCUUGCAAUUUAGCAUAAAGACCUCGAAAUGUAAUUGAGUAUUUUACUUUUGGAUAUUAUCCUUUCUUUAUUUUUGUAGUUAGUUAAUAUAUUUUAUUUAAAUAUAACUAUUACUUAGUUAAUUAAACGCUUGAUAACACAUAAGUAUAUAUGUAGAUAUAUAAUAAUUAUAUAUGGAAUACCUAAAUAUUUCAGCAGUAUACCCCUGACACUUUUGAACUAUCUAACAUCAAGUACAAAAUUUAUAUUAAAAUAAAAAUAAUCCAACGAACAUUUUCUGGAUAUUUGAAGUAAUUUAAUAAAUUUUGAGUAUAUAUAUUCAAAUUAUGUGUUAUUAUCUUCUAUUUUCUUAAUUCUCAUAUGCAAUAGUGAACUAAAAAGUGAUUUUUAGAAAGGACAACGAAAUUAACGAAUUAUAUCAGACCUUAAACUCGAAAUUGUACUCUAAAAUGUGUUUUUUGUUGUGUUUUAAUUUUUAAGUAUUUUAAAUAUCAGAAGUUAGUAGCCAGAAUUACAAAUCAGUUUUUUCAAUAGUAUCACAGAAUAGGUUAGGUUAGGUUAAGGGGUAGAUUUCCGCAAAUGCAGAGAAUCUCACUGAGACAGAUUCGAGUGUCCAUUGUGACACUCGUAAAAAACACGUAACGGAUCACUAAGAUCCUUAUGUUGCGACGAAGCGCUUGGACUCAAUAAUAAAGUUCUUAAGUCGGUUAAUGUCGAUUCCAGUCACUUCGCUGGGUUCGCAGAAAAAAAUGCCUACCGAGGUGCUUUAACAUAAGUGUGGCGAAUGCUGGACAUUGAAGGAGGAAGUGCUUGUACGAUUUCUCUUUGCCUUCCUCCAAACAGUUUUGGCAACUAGCGUAUGACAUGAUUCCUAGCCUCACCGCGUGUGUGCCUAUUGGGCAAUGACCAGUAAGCACUUCAAUGAUCGCUGAGAGAUGAGCGACAGUAGCUGCAAAGACCGUUUUCGAUCCACUGUGGGCCAAAAUGACUUCGCUACUGGGCAGGUGCUGGUUGUUCUCCAGCGCUUGGCCAGCUCACUCAAAGACAGUGUGUCCAGCGCUGUGGAGCAAGUGGACCCCGGACUGCGCACACGUUUCCACUCCGGCGCCAAUAUUGCUAUAUUGCCUCUUGCAAGCUGAUCCGCUUUGCAGUUUCCAGCGAUUCCGCGGUGAUCGGGUACCCACACAAAUCGCAUUUUACAGUAGUUCGAAGUUACUGAUAACGAUGUUAGGUACUCCCUUACUAGCUUAGAGUGUACUGUCAUCGAAUCCAAGGACAUUAUUGCCGCUCUGCUAUCGGAGUGAAUACACACCUCACUGAAGGAUACUGCAGCUACCUCUGUCUGAAAGACGCAAUCGUAUGGCAGCCGAAAACGAGUUAAUUGAGAGCUUCCGACAGAAAACUGAUGCCUUUCUCUCUCACUCCUCAAUUUUUGGCUUCCACGAGAGCUUCCUCUCUAGGAGCCCCAUGUAUUUCACCUUGGCCACGGGUUGCAGACUGGAGCAUCCCAAUGAUGGGGGAGUAGAGUAUGAAAUUUUAUACCUCCUUGAAAAUAAUACCAGUUCAGUCUUACUGGGAUUAAUGGCUAAGCCACUUCUUUGCGUCCAGCGGGUUACUGUGUGUCUCAUACACAGUGCACAGUGGUUGGGCUUGUAUGAAGGUGCGGUCAUAAAUACUUCCCGUUGAGAUAUCGCUUUGAAAUUUUCACCAAAAAUCUAGAAAAUUAUUUUAAAUAUAUAGUAAAAAAAUUGAACCCAUCGGACUACUAGGUCCUGUAGCUCCCAUAGAACUGUAAUUGCCAUUAUAAUGCAAUUAUGGACAAAAAUACUUCUCAUGGCCAUGGUUGGAGCGUCAAAACUUUCAGUAAGGCUUUGUAAAAACAUUUAAGAAAGCGAUAAACAAGCUGAACAUGAUUUGUCGUUAUAGUUUCCCCCAUCCAACCCCCACAUUCAACCUGUAAGAAUAAUAUUAUAUAAACAAAUCAUGUAGGAAAAAAGCAAAUUAUCAACCAAUUUAAUACAGUUCAUUUUUUCACUGCCAUUCUACAGCCAUUAUAAUUAGAACAAAAACUUAUAACAUCCUCUAGUAGACCGUACAUAGAUUGAAAUAAAGAUGGUUUAUCCUUCUUUCCAAGCUUUUUUAGUCCAAUUAUAAUGAGUUUGAACUUAAAAAUAGUUAAUUCAAAGGCCAUUAUUAUUUUGACGAUUACUUCUACAUCUGCAAAUUUCCGCACCUAACUUUAACACUUUUAUUACCUUAAGACUCUGGUAAAGAUAAUGUAAAAUAAAUCUAACGGGGGAUCGCGGGGAACACAACAAUAACUUUAUGUAAACACAUUGAAGACGCAGAAAAAAGGUUCAAAAAAUAGGUGAUCCGAGUAUAAAACACUAAUUUCACAAAAAAUACAAAUCACGUUAGUCUUAAUUAAUUUCACAAGUUAAAAUAAAUACCUCUAGCUUCAAAAGCCAUUAAAAUAAUCUUGAUUCGUUAACUUGAACAAUUACCAGAACAAUUUGAAGUGCGUUGUUGCUGCGAAUUUAAUAAAAAAUGUCUGAUGUGCUUUAAAAAAAUACAGUUGUUCAUGCGUUUAACUCUAUUUUUAGAAAGUAUCGUUAGAUUUUUGGGAAAACCCGGUUUGAAAACAAGAAGUUUGGACAAUUUAGAGGCCAUCGGUUUACAUUUUGUCAAAAAAAUCGAUAGAUGGAUUUUUUGAUUUUUGGCCUACGGCGGAACCACUGAACAAUUGAAAUCUUACAACGAUUGUAUUUAGUCCAAUAAGCAAUAUUUUUUUUGCAAAUGUAACCAAUACAAAUGUUAAGUUUUCUCAUCUCUACUGCGUAGCCUUUGUUUUUAAUGCUUUGUUCUACCAAACCAAAUUUGAGCAACAGUAAGACGACAGCUUAAGUUUAUUCACGAAUAUAAACAUAUGGGCAAAUAUCGGCAGCUACACCUAACAUUUAUAGUACCUUAAAACAUUGACAAAUACACUGAUAACACUUAUAAAGGGGGGGUCGUGGGGUAACAUAAUAACUAAAUGUCUAUUUAAACAUGAAAAUUACGUUAAAAAAAAUACACAAAAAAAGUAUAAUCAAUCAAAAGUACACAACAAAUAAUAAAUCAAUAAAAUUAAUUUCACAAUAUGAAUUUAUUAAAGUAAAUACCUGCAACAAUAAAAUUCAUUUUAAAUAAUCAAAUUCGGACCUCUCUAGCAAACGUUUGACCACUUUGAAAUUCAAUUUUGUUUUCACAAAAAGCUAACUUAGCGCAGUUUCGCUGCAAAAUUGAACAGUUGAUCACACUUUGCAUUCUAUUUUUAGAAUGUCCCGUUAGAUUUGCAGUAAAAACCUUUUUGCCAUGAAGAAGCUUGGACAUUUUAGAGACGAUUUGGUAACUUUUCGCAAAUUUUUGUUGUUAUGAAAUUUUUGAAUUUUGUCUUAUGGGCGCAACCACUGUGCAGUGUUUAGAAAUGAUAAAAUUUGGGUUGGAAAUGUGAAAAAGGAACACAAGACAUAAAAGCGAAAUCGAUUGCCGCUGAACACAAUAUACCCGAUGCGUAGAAAACCUUAAGAAUGGUCCCACCACCGACACUAGGGAAAUCAGCCAACAUAGCGGUUGGUCGUCCGAUAACUCUCUUUUCCUCAGUAGUGGAUACACUUGAGGCCCUGCUUACUCACGCACCAUCACUUAGUGUCAAGUCGCUCAGAUAAUUCAUGACAUAAAUCAAAACCCUUCCUGUUUGAGGACAAUCCUGGUAAUGCUUUCACACAGUCCAUCAAACAAAGCUACUAGAAUACAUUGAAGAAUUCACACUUCCUCCAGAGUUGAAGAGGUGAAUCAUGCAUUAUCUAAGCGGAAAUAUAAUAGCGUUUUCUUUUCUCAAAAAAAAAUUAACAUUUAUUCUGCCCUAUACUCGGAUUUUCAAAUUGUGAGUGAAAGUUGACCAGCAUAACAGGAAGUAUUCUUUUAUCAUGAAAAAAAUGGAACACAUUCAAAGAGGUAAUGCAGAAUUUGUAUAAUGUUGAAAUAUAAAAAGGCAAACUUUUCAUCGAGAAAAGAAAACGCUAUAAGAUUGAUGAGCUGCCAAGGCGUAGAAUGGGAACAAUUAGGAGCUCUACCUAUCCUCUUGUGAUUUCCUAUUGAACAAGCGCUGGUCAUUCGCAAGUUCUUUCUGACCCACAGAAAAUCGGGGUCGGCUUUAGUAUACUAUCCCAGGCUUUCGGUAAUAAAAUGGGUAUCGUUGGAAAGAGGAGGUUCUCCAGAUUAAGAAUAUAUAUACAUACAGCUGCAGCUUGAAUUUUCACAAUAUAUACUGAAUAUUUUAUUUAACCCAAACCAAACCAUAAUGGUGUUAUGACUAAUGCAAAGUCUUUCGGUAUUACCUUUUCUUUGAUAACACCCGGUGAUUGCCCGACCAGGGUUAUUUUUUUGAAGCGCGGCGGAAGGCCGCCAAUGCGGAAAGUAUUUCUACACGAAAGAAUAUUUCAAUUCCCCCACUUUGAUAACUCCCGGUGUUUGCUCGACCAGGGUUAUUUUUUUUAAGCGCUGCCGAAGGCCGCCAAUGCGGAAAGUAUUUCUACAUGAAAGAAUAUUUCAAUUCCCCCUCUUUGAUAACUCACGGUGUUGGCUCGACCAGGGUUAUUUUUUUGAAGCGCGGCCGAAGGCCGCCAAUGCGGAAAGUAGUUCUACACUAAAGAAUAUUUCAAUUCCCCCUCUUUGAUAACUCCCGGUGUUGGCUCGACCAGGGUUAUUUUUUUGAAGCGCGGCCGAAGGCCGCCAAUGCAGAAAGUAGUUCUACACGAUAGAACUUUUCAUUUCCCCCACUUUGAUAACUCCCGGUGUUGGCUCGACCAGGGUUAUUUUUUUGAAGCGCGGCCGAAGGCCGCCAAUGCAGAAAGUAGUUCUACACGAUAGAACUUUUCAUUUCCCCCACUUUGAUAACUCCCGGUGUUGGCUCGACCAGGGUUAUUUUUUUGAAGCGCGGCCGAAGGCCGCCAAUGCGGAAAGUAGUUCUACACGAAAGAGUAUUUCAAUUCCCCCUCUUUGAUAACUCCCGGUGUUGGCUCGACCAGGGUUAUUUUUUUGAAGCGCGGCCGAAGGCCGCCAAUGCGGAAAGUAGUUCUACACGAAAGAGUAUUUCAAUUCCCCCUCUUUGAUAACUCCCGGUGUUGGCUCGACCAGGGUUAUUUUUUUGAAGCGCGGCCGAAGGCCGCCAAUGUGGAAAGUAUUUCUACACGAAAGAACUUUUCAUUUCCCUUACUUAUAGUGCAUUGAGUGAAUAUCAUAAACUUUCUUAUAUUAUCUUUAUAUAAUCUUUUUAUAGGGCAUUUGUUUUCUGCAUUUUGGGUAUUUAUUUAUUUUGGUUCUUCUCAUUCCUUUGCAAAAUAUCUGAUAUGGCAACACUUAUUACUUGUCAAGCUGCAACCCUUUUUGUUAUUGUUGAAAUUAAGAGAUUUGUGUAAAAUGUUAAAUACUUAUUUACAGCUAUUUUCGUGAUAAAUUUUAUAAAAUAAAUAUGCAGGAACAAUGUGGUGAAGUGUAAGUGUAAAAUAAGUGCAGAAUAUUAAUAAAAUAUUCAGUAUAUAUUGUGAAAAUUCAAGAUAAAAGUAGCACUUUUUUCAACUUUAAGUGCGAAUAUCUCGAAAACUAUAAGUCAGCUGCAGCUAUAUGUAUAUAUAUUCUUAAUCUGGAUACCCAUUUUAUUACCGAAAGCCUGGGAUAGUAUACUAAAGUUUCCCCGAAAAUCGUAAGAUAUCUGGAGAGUUUUUCGCCUUAAGCGGUCAUUAUCCCAUUAAAAUUAAAUUUGUAUCAGGUGCUAAUUGCAGAACUUGCCUGGUAGAAGACGAGGUGUAUGGUUUCCAUAUAUUCCGAGAACUUCAAGUGAUUUUUGUCAUUCAAGAUUUAGUUAAUCCCAUUUGGUCCCGAAGGGCAGUGAAUCUAGCUGUUGGUAGCGACUUCGUUAAAACAUCAGCCAAUUGUAAAUCUGUGGAAAUAUACUUGAUACAAAUUAGUUUGUUUUCAAUUUAUUCCCUGGUAAAAUGAUAUUUAAUAUUUAUGUGCUUAGUUCUCUUGCGGCAAGUAGGGUUAAUGGCUAUACUAAUACAAUCUUGGUUGCUUCUUUUACACGUUCGAAUGAGGCCAUAUACUCAGCUUCGGUAGAUGAAGCAGCAAUAUCUGUUCAUCAAAUUUUGGUCUUAUCGAACAUCACAAAGUAGUCCGUAAUAAAUUGUAAUAGAUUAAUAUGUACUUAAGAUUACAACUUUGUACCUCACGCAACCCUGUAUAAUACCAUUUGUAUUCUCUUUCAUUCUAUGAUGCUUACAUUGUAGACAUGUUUAUCUUUAUUGAAUAAAGUCAGUCGAAUUUAACAUUCAACAUCCUCGGAACUUUAGUUUUUUAUACACGACGUCAUGAUGCCAACACAGUGGAAGCAGACAAAGAAGAAGCCAUACGACUGGACCAAAGCAAGCCGCUUAACAAUUGCAGUAGUUCUUGCAAUUUAGCAUAAAGACCUCGAAAUGUAAUUGAGUAUUUUACUUUUGGAUAUUAUCCUUUCUUUAUUUUUGUAGUUAGUUAAUAUAUUUUAUUUAAAUAUAACUAUUACUUAGUUAAUUAAACGCUUGAUAACACAUAAGUAUAUAUGUAGAUAUAUAAUAAUUAUAUAUGGAAUACCUAAAUAUUUCAGCAGUAUACCCCUGACACUUUUGAACUAUCUAACAUCAAGUACAAAAUUUAUAUUAAAAUAAAAAUAAUCCGACGAA